rnacentral:lncRNA from 1 species
AAGGUAGGCAGAUCACUUGAGGCCAGGAGUUUCAGACCAGCCUGGCCAACAUGGUGAAAUCCUGUCUCUAACAAAAAUACAAAAAAUUAGCUGGGCAUGAUGGCACAUGCCUGUAGUCCCAGCUUCUUGGGAGGCUGAGGUGGAAAGAUUGCUUGAACCCAGGACGCGGAGAUUACAGUGAGCUGAGGUUGUACCACUGCACUCUAGCCUGGCCAACAGAGCAAGAAUAUCUCAAAAAAAAAAAAAAAAAAAAAAGAAAAGAAAGAAAAAAAAGAAAAAAGGAAAUGGUGAAAUGGCCCAACAUUUGCAAAAAGAGAGGGAUGAAGGACAUCUAUAAGUGGCUCCCAAAUCCCAGAGAAUUCAUGGUCUCUGCGAUUAAUAUUUUGCCAUACUUUUACUGUCCUUUGUUACCACAUUUCCUAGGUGUAGAUUUAGAUUGCUGGUGUUCUCUAAACUAAAAUAGAUUGUUAUCUCAGUUAUCAUGCAUAUUGCAAUGACAUAGAAAAAUAUAGGAAAUUAUUUAAUCUGACAACUACAAUGAAGAUAAAACCAAUAGAAAGUCAACUCGAAACAGAAGGUCAUCUAGCACAUUUACUCACAAUUUCUCUAAGUCCUAACACAUAUACCCUGUAAGUCAAAAAGAAAAAAAUUCUUGGAAAUAAAUUGCAUUGUUUUUGUUUUACUAAAGAAAAUAAAUUUAAAAGAAUAUGUCUGUAUUUUAAUUGAAACUUCUCAGGAACAGAAAGUCAAAUCCUGCUUGUUCUCACUUACAAGUGAUAGCUAAAUAAUGUGUACACAUGAACUUCGAGUGUGGAAUGAUAAACACUGAAGACUUGGGAGGCUGGGAGAGUGGCAGGGGGUGGGUACUGAGAAAUUUCUUAAUGGGUACAAUGUACAUUAUUCGAUUGAUGGAUGUACUAAAAGACUAGACUUCACCACUACACAAUAUAACCAUGUAACAAAAUUGCACUUGUACCCCUUAAACUUAUACCCCCCAACAAAGAGUGUGCCUAUUUUUUUUCAAUUGGAUGUUUCUCUUCUUUUCCUCAAGGGCACUGGCACUAGCACACAGAGUUGGCAUGAUCCAUCGGGAGACACGUCCUGGGAGCCCCACAGCUUCUGACACAGCCCCAAAGGGAGAGUUGCUUUGUGGAGUGUCGAGUACCAGGCGGAGCUCCUCUACUGCCUCAUAGAGCACAUCGUCCAUGAGCUCAAGGAUGCAGGGGUUUUCAGUCUCACCUGGAAGAAUAACGUCAGCAGGAGGAGCAGCGAGGACGGCGUGGGCUG